rnacentral:rRNA from 1 species
GCGUAAAGAGCUCGUAGGCGGUUUGUCGCGUCUGCUGUGAAAUCCCGAGGCUCAACCUCGGGCCUGCAGUGGGUACGGGCAGACUAGAGUGCGGUAGGGGAGAUUGGAAUUCCUGGUGUAGCGGUGGAAUGCGCAGAUAUCAGGAGGAACACCGAUGGCGAAGGCAGAUCUCUGGGCCGUAACUGACGCUGAGGAGCGAAAGGGUGGGGAGCAAACAGGCUUAGAUACCCUGGUAGUCCACCCCGUAAACGUUGGGAACUAGUUGUGGGGUCCAUUCCACGGAUUCCGUGACGCAGCUAACGCAUUAAGUUCCCCGCCUGGGGAGUACGGCCGCAAGGCUAAAACUCAAAGGAAUUGACGGGGACCCGCACAAGCGGCGGAGCAUGCGGAUUAAUCCGAUGCAACGCGAAGAACCUUACCAAGGCUUGACAUAUACGAGAACGGGCCAGAAAUGGUCAACUCUUUGGACACUCGUAAACAGGUGGUGCAUGGUUGUCGUCAGCUCGUGUCGUGAGAUGUUGGGUUAAGUCCCGCAACGAGCGCAACCCUCGUUCUAUGUUGCCAGCACGUAAUGGUGGGAACUCAUGGGAUACUGCCGGGGUCAACUUGGAGGAAGGUGGGGAUGACGUCAAAUCAUCAUGCCCCUUAUGUCUUGGGCUUCACGCAUGCUACAAUGGCCGGUACAAAGGGCUGCAAUACCGUGAGGUGGAGCGAAUCCCAAAAAGCCGGUCCCAGUUCGGAUUGAGGUCUGCAACUCGACCUCAUGAAGUCGGAGUCGCUAGUAA